rnacentral:piRNA from 1 species
UUCAGCUCCUAUAUGAUGCCU